rnacentral:rRNA from 1 species
GUCCACGCCGUAAACGAUGCCGGCUCGUUCUCUGGGUGCCGUUAAGGCGCCUGGGGGGCUAAGCACACGCGGUAAGCCGGCCGCCUGGGAACUACGAGCGCAAGCUUAAAACUCAAAGGAAUUGACGGGGGCCCCGCACAAGCAGCGGAGCGUGUGGUUUAAUUCGACGCAACGCGAAGAACCUUACCCAGGUUUGACAUGCAUCUGCAAGCCGGUGAAAGCCGGUCGCCUUCGAGGGUGAUGCACAGGUGCUGCAUGGUUGUCGU